rnacentral:rRNA from 1 species
GGGUUCUGAGAGGAAGGUCCCCCACAUUGGAACUGAGACACGGUCCAAACUCCUACGGGAGGCAGCAGUGAGGAAUAUUGGUCAAUGGGCGCAAGCCUGAACCAGCCAAGUAGCGUGAGGGAAGACUGCCCUACGGGUUGUAAACCUCCUUUGUUUGGGAAUAAAGUGCGGGACGCGUCCUGCAUUGCAUGUACCAUUUGAAUAAGGACCGGCUAAUUCCGUGCCAGCAGCCGCGGUAAUACGGAAGGUCCGGGCGUUAUCCGGAUUUAUUGGGUUUAAAGGGAGCGCACGCCGUGGGUUAAGCGUGUCGUGAAAUUCCGUCGCUCAACGGCGGACGUGCGGCGCGAACUGGUCCACUUGAGUACGCGGGACGUUGGCGGAAUUCGUGGUGUAGCGGUGAAAUGCUUAGAUAUCACGAAGAACUCCGAUUGCGAAGGCAGCUGACGGUAGCGCAACUGACGCUGAGGCUCGAAAGUGCGGGUAUCGAACAGGAUUAGAUACCCUGGUAGUCCGCACGGUAAACGAUGGAUGCCCGCUAUUCGCCCAUCUGGGCGAGUGGCCAAGCGAAAGCGUUAAGCAUCCCACCUGGGGAGUACGCCGGCAACGGUGAAACUCAAAGGAAUUGACGGGGGCCCGCACAAGCGGAGGAACAUGUGGUUUAAUUCGAUGAUACGCGAGGAACCUUACCCGGGCUUGAAUUGCAGAGGAAGGAUUUAGAGAUAAUGACGCCCUUCGGGGCCUCUGUGAAGGUGCUGCAUGGUUGUCGUCAGCUCGUGCCGUGAGGUGUCGGCUUAAGUGCCAUAACGAGCGCAACCCCUCUCCGUAGUUGCCAUCGGGUGAUGCCGGGCACUCUGCGGACACUGCCACCGUAAGGUGUGAGGAAGGUGGGGAUGACGUCAAAUCAGCACGGCCCUUACGUCCGGGGCUACACACGUGUUACAAUGGGGCAUACAGAGCGCCGGCGGCCGGCAACGUCCGUCCAAUCGCUAAAGUGUCCCCCAGUUCGGACUGGGGUCUGCAACCCGACCCCACGAAGCUGGAUUCGCUAGUAAUCGCGCAUCAGCCAUGGCGCGGUGAAUACGUUCCCGGGCCUUGUACACACCGCCCGUCAAGCCAUGAAAGCCGGGGGCGCCUGAAGUCCGUGACCGCAAGGGUCGGCCUAGGGCGAAACCGGUGAUUGGGGCUAAGUCGUAACAAGGUA